UACAGGGGGAGCAAGCGUUGUUCGGAUUUACUGGGCGUAAAGGGCGCGUAGGCGGCCACCGCAAGUCGACUGUGAAAUCUCCGGGCUUAACCCGGAAAGGUCAGCCGAUACUGCGGGGCUAGAGUGCAGAAGGGGCAACUGGAAUUCUCGGUGUAGCGGUGAAAUGCGUAGAUAUCGAGAGGAACACCUGCGGCGAAGGCGGGUUGCUGGGCUGACACUGACGCUGAUGCGCGAAAGCUAGGGGAGCGAACGGG
rnacentral:rRNA from 1 species